UGGAAGAGGGAAGGGAAGAGGAGGAGGGGGGGUGUAGUGCGUAGUUGGGGGAAGAAGGGAAGGAAAUGGACGUAAUAGUAGAAGUAGAAGUAGUAGUAGUAGUAGUAGUAGUAGUAGUAGUAGUAGUAGUGGUCACCUGUACCCCGGAGCUCCUCAGGGUACAGGGCAAGGUAUGACUGGUCGAAGGCAUUGGCAGGGGUACAGAGGUCAGGUCAGGUUAGCAGGUGUUAGGCAGAAGAUACAAGGAGCAUUUACAGGUGAGUUUAAGGCAUUGGACUUCUGGGAGUAUGCGGUACAGAGGUCAGGUUAGGUUAGCUGGUGUUAGGCAGAAGAUACAAGGAGCAUUUACAGGUGAGUUUAAGGCAUUGGGCUCGUGGGAGUAUGCGGUACAGAGGUCAGGUUAGGUUAGCUGGUGUUAGGCAGAAGAUACAAGGGGCAUUUACAGGUGAGGUCAUGGCAUUGGACUUGUGGGAGUGAGGGGAAUAGAGGCUUGUAAAGGGUAACUGUUGGAUUGGCCAGUUAAGGUUAGCAGGUCAAAGGGAGAAGCUAAGGGCAUUCAGAGGUGAUUUUAAGGGAUUGGGGUUAAGGGAUUGAGGGUACAGGAGCCCCCUAAAACACUGAAGAAGCUUGUAAAGGGUAACUGUUGGAUAGGCCAGUUA